AAAAAAGAAAAACCCUAAAUGGCAACAAACCCUGAGAUUUUUCGAAGAAGACAUGGAUCUUAAUUAUGUCAAAUUUUUAAAAAUUACGUAUUAAAUAGGGUAUUGGUAGAAGUCUUCUUCUCUGGACAUCAUUAUAAUAAUGCAUAAUUGCUUGGCAAUAGCAUCAACGAUGGCUUCAUGCAUACAAUUAUUGAUCAACUAUUCGUGAUUAAUUUUUAAUGCAUACAAUUAGAAGACAUUAUUGGAAUUAUAUCUUUGUGUAUAUACAAUAAUUUGAAAUGCAUAUAUCUAUGCAGUUGUCCUUUCCCUGUACGGUCAAGAUGUGGGAAUUAUUUUUAUUGGAUUUGUAAAUUUGAUUUCACUUCAUCUGAUUUGAAGUAAUAUGUAAUCAAUUUUAAUUAUAACAAAAUUUGUAAU
rnacentral:misc_RNA from 1 species